rnacentral:rRNA from 1 species
UUGGAGGGCAAGUCUGGUGCCAGCAGCCGCGGUAAUUCCAGCUCCAAUAGCGUAUAUUAAAGUUGUUGCAGUUAAAAAGCUCGUAGUUGAAUUUCGGGAUCAAAUUGUCGGUCGUGCCUCGGUACGCACUGGUAUUAUUGGUUCCUACCUUCUGAAGAACCGCGAUGUCAUUAAUUUGGUGUCGUGGGAAUCAGGACUGUUACUUUGAAAAAAUUAGAGUGUUUAAAGCAGGCUUACGCUUGAAUACAUUAGCAUGGAAUAAUGAAAUAGGACGUUUGAUUCUAUUUUGUUGGUUUCUAGGAUUGACGUAAUGAUUAAUAGGGAUAGUUGGGGGCAUUAGUAUUCAAUUGUCAGAGGUGAAAUUCUUGGAUUUAUUGAAGACUGACUACUGCGAAAGCAUUUGCCAAGGAUGUUUUCAUUAAUCAAGAACGAGAGUUAGGGGAUCGAAGACGAUCAGAUACCGUCGUAGUCUUAACCAUAAACUAUGCCGACUAGGGAUCGGAUGAUGUUAAUUUUUUAAUGGCUCAUUCGGCGCCUUACGGGAAACCAAAGUGUUUGGGUUC